GAAGAGAGGCAGAUCAUGGCCAUCAGUGCUUCACACACUGCCAUCCAGAGAGGAGAGUCAUGCUGUCUUGCUACAGACACACUCAGCAGUGGGGAUCCUGACAGAAGACGAGGGGUGACAGAAAGGGAUGAUAAGCUCUGCCAGUUUGUGCGCCUCCAGGCUCGGAUGCUCCACCAUGCAGGUCAAAUUCUGACCAGAAUACGAAGAAGACAGGAUAUGCACAGAGCUAUG